AUGAACGCGAGCCCGGCUCCUCAGGGCGUCCUGUGGGGGCCUGCGCCUGGCUGUGCCCCCAGCACUGUCACCUGGGCUCCUCCGGGUGUCCUGUGGGGGCCUGCGCCUGGCUAUGCCCCCAGCACUGUCACCUGGGCUCCUCUGGGCGUCCUGCGGGGACUGCGCCUGGCUGUGCCCCCAGCGCUGUCAUGUGGGCUCCUCAGGGCGUCCUGUGGGGACUGCGCCUGGCUGUGCCCCCAGCACUGUCACCUGGACUCCUCAGGGCGUCCUGUGGGGGCCUGCGCCUGGCUGUGCCCCCAGCUCUGUCACCUGGGCUCCUCAGGGCGUCCUGUGGGGGCCUGCGCCUGGCUAUGCCCCCAGCACUGUCACCUGGGCUCCUCUGGGCGUCCUGCGGGGCCUGCGCCUGGCUGUGCCCCCAGCGCUGUCAUGUGGGCUCCUCAGGGCGUCCUGCGGGGACUGCGCCUGGCUGUGCCCCCAGCACUGUCACCUGGACUCCUCAGGGCGUCCUGUGGGGGCCUGCGCCUGGCUGUACCCCCAGCUCCUCCGGGCAUCCUGCGGGGCCUGCGCCUGGCUGUGCCCCCAGCGCUGUCACCUGGGCUCCUCUGGGCGUCCUGCGGGGACUGUACCUGGCUGUGCCCCCAGCUCCUCAGGGCAUCCUGUGGGGCCUGCGCCUGGCUGUACCCCCAGCUCCUCCGGGCAUCCUGCGGGGCCUGCGCCUGGCUGUGCCCCCAGCGCUGUCACCUGGGCUCCUCUGGGCGUCCUGCGGGGCCUGUGCCUGGCUGUGCCCCCAGCUCCUCAGGGCAUCCUGUGGGGCCUGCGCCUGGCUGUACCCCCAGCUCCUCCGGGCAUCCUGCGGGGCCUGCGCCUGGCUGUGCCCCCAGCGCUGUCACCUGGGCUCCUCUGGGCGUCCUUUGGGGCCUGUGCCUAGCUGUGCCCCAGCACUGUCACCUCUGCCAUCAGGAUCACACUGCAAACAGGAGGCCUUGGGUCAAGAUCUCUUUAUGCUUAUUUCCCAUCUCUCCAGAUGAGAACAGGAAUCACGCGUAG
rnacentral:lncRNA from 1 species